GUUCUGUAGCUCAGUGGUUAGAGCACUCGCCCCAUGAGCGGGAGGACCUGGGUUCAAUUCCCGGGCAGGAAGAAACA